rnacentral:rRNA from 1 species
UUUUAUAUUAAAAUAUUAAUUUAAAUUUUAUAAAUUAAGAAAUAAUGAUAAAAUUAGUAUAAUUAUAUAUAUAUAUAUAUAUAUAAUAAAUUGUUAGGUUAAUUUUUAAAGAAUUCGGCAAAAUUAUUUUUCACCUGUUUAUUAAAAACAUGUCUUUUUGUUUAAAAUUUAAAGUCUAGCCUGCCCAAUGAAGUUUAAAUGGCCGCGAUAUUUUGAUCGUGCUAAGGUAGCAUAAUCAUUAGUUUUUUAAUUGAAAGCUGGAAUGAAGGGUUGGAUGAAAAAAUAACUUUUUUAGUUUAAUUUUAUUAAAAUUUUAUUUUUAAGUAAAAAAGUUUAAAUGUAAUUAAAAGACGAGAAGACCCUAUAAAGUUUUAUAAAUAUUUUAAAAUAUUUUUUUAGAAUUAAUUUUUUAUUUUGAAAUGUUUAUUUGGUUGGGGUGAUUAAAAAAUUUAAUUAACUUUUUUUAUAUUUUUAUAUAAAUUUAUAAAUUUAUGAUCCAAUAUUAUUGAUUAUAAGAUAAAAUUACUUUAGGGAUAACAGCGUAAUUUUAUUAGAAAGUUCAUAUUGAUAAUAAAGAUUGCGACCUCGAUGUUGGAUUAAAAUUUCUAUUUGGUGUAGUGGCUAAAUAAUUAAGUCUGUUCGACUUUUAAAAUUUUACAUGAUCUGAGUUUAAACCGGUGUAAGCCAGGUUGGUUUCUAUCUUUAGUAAAUUAAUAUAUUUUAGUACGAAAGGACCAAGUAU